UCUUAGGGAAAAAAAGUGGGUUACAGUGGGAGACACGUCAUUACGGAUAUUCAAAUGGGUCCCUGUUACAGAGACUAAACAGAUAUACAAGCCUAAAUUGUCAGGUACUGCAGUGAGGGAGCUGAAGGGCUUUCCUACAGAUGUGGUGCUGGAAAACGCCCGUUCCGUGCUACUGGACUUUCAGGAUGACAACAGUAACCAGAGUUUCCUAUCAGAUGCCUAUCAGUCUAAUUCC